GCUGGGUAUGGUGGCACAUGCCUGUAAUCCCAGCAGCUCGGGAGGCUGAGGCAGGAGAAUCACAUGUUCGAAGCCAGCCUCAGCAACUUAGCAAGACCCUGUCUCUC
rnacentral:sRNA from 1 species